AAAUUGAAGAGUUUGAUCAUGGCUCAGAUUGAACGCUGGCGGCAGGCCUAACACAUGCAAGUCGAACGGUAGCACAGAGAGCUUGCUCUCGGGUGACGAGUGGCGGACGGGUGAGUAAUGUCUGGGAAACUGCCUGAUGGAGGGGGAUAACUACUGGAAACGGUGGCUAAUACCGCAUAACGUCGCAAGACCAAAGAGGGGGACCUUCGGGCCUCUUGCCAUCAGAUGUGCCCAGAUGGGAUUAGCUAGUUGGUGAGGUAACGGCUCACCAAGGCGACGAUCCCUAGCUGGUCUGAGAGGAUGACCAGCCACACUGGAACUGAGACACGGUCCAGACUCCUACGGGAGGCAGCAGUGGGGAAUAUUGCACAAUGGGCGCAAGCCUGAUGCAGCCAUGCCGCGUGUAUGAAGAAGGCCUUCGGGUUGUAAAGUACUUUCAGCGGGGAGGAAGGUGUUGUGGUUAAUAACCGCAGCAAUUGACGUUACCCGCAGAAGAA
rnacentral:rRNA from 1 species